rnacentral:rRNA from 1 species
UGCGCAGGUGGGAGAUUAAGUCAGUGGUGAAAUCCUGCAGCUUAACUGUAGAAUUGCCAUUGAUACUGAUUUUCUUGAGUGCAGUUGAGGUGGGCGGAAUGUGUAAUGUAGCGGUGAAAUGCUUAGAUAUUACACAGAACACCGAUUGCGUAGGCAGCUCACUAAACUGUUACUGACGCUCAGGCACGAAAGCGUGGGGAGCGAACAGGAUUAGAUACCCUGGUAGUCC